CUACGGGAGGCUGCAGUGAGGAAUAUUGCACAAUGGGGGGAACCCUGAUGCAGCAACGCCGCGUGGAGGAUGACGCAUUUCGGUGUGUAAACUCCUUCUAUAUGUCAAGAAAAUGACGGUAGCAUAUGAAUAAGCACCGGCUAACUCCGUGCCAGCAGCCGCGGUAAUACGGAGGGUGCAAGCGUUACUCGGAAUCACUGGGCGUAAAGGACGCGUAGGCGGGUUGGAAAGUCAGGUGUGAAAUCCUACAGCUUAACUGUAGAACUGCACUUGAAACUUCUAAUCUAGAGUAUGGGAGGGGGAGAUGGAAUUAGUGGUGUAGGGGUAAAAUCCGUAGAUAUCACUAGGAAUACCUAAAGCGAAGGCGAUCUCCUGGAACAUUACUGACGCUAAGGCGUGAAAGCGUGGGGAGCAAACAGGAUUAGAUACCCGCGAGUC
rnacentral:rRNA from 1 species